CGCGUAGGCGGCCCGCUAAGUCGAACGUGAAAUCCCCAGGCUCAACCUGGGAACUGCGUCCGAUACUGGCAGGCUUGAAUCCGGGAGAGGGAUGUGGAAUUCCAGGUGUAGCGGUGAAAUGCGUAGAUAUCUGGAGGAACACCGGUGGCGAAGGCGGCAUCCUGGACCGGUAUUGACGCUGAGGCGCGAAAGCUAGGGAGCAAAC
rnacentral:rRNA from 1 species